rnacentral:rRNA from 1 species
AUUGAACGCUGGCGGCAGGCCUAACACAUGCAAGUCGAGCGGAUGAAGGGAGCUUGCUCCUGGAUUCAGCGGCGGACGGGUGAGUAAUGCCUAGGAAUCUGCCUGGUAGUGGGGGAUAACGUCCGGAAACGGGCGCUAAUACCGCAUACGUCCUGAGGGAGGAAGUGGGGGAUCUUCGGACCUCACGCUAUCAGAUGAGCCUAGGUCGGAUUAGCUAGUUGGUGGGGUAAAGGCCUACCAAGGCGACGAUCCGUAACUGGUCUGAGAGGAUGAUCAGUCACACUGGAACUGAGACACGGUCCAGACUCCUACGGGAGGCAGCAGUGGGGAAUAUUGGACAAUGGGCGAAAGCCUGAUCCAGCCAUGCCGCGUGUGUGAAGAAGGUCUUCGGAUUGUAAAGCACUGUAAGUUGGGAGGAAGGGCAGUAAGUUAAUACCUUGCUGUUUUGACGUUACCAACAGAAUAAGCACCGGCUAACUUCGUG